GAUGAACGCUGGCGGCGUGCCUAAUACAUGCAAGUCGAGCGAACGGACGAGAAGCUUGCUUCUCUGAUGUUAGCGGCGGACGGGUGAGCAACACGUGGAUAACCUACCUAUAAGACUGGGAUAACUUCGGGAAACCGUAGCUAAUACCGGAUAAUAUUUUGAACCGCAUGGUUCAAAAGUGAAAGACGGUCUUGCUGUCACUUAUAGAUGGAUCCGCGCUGCAUUAGCUAGUUGGUAAGGUAACGGCUUACCAAGGCAACGAUGCAUAGCCGACCUGAGAGGGUGAUCGGCCACACUGGAACUGAGACACGGUCCAGACUCCUACGGGAGGAAGCAGUAGGGAAUCUUCCGCAAUGGGCGAAAGCCUGACGGAGCAACGCCGCGUGAGUGGUGAAGGUCUUCGGAUCGUAAAACUCUGUUAUUAGGGAAGAACAUAUGUGUAAGUAACUGUGCACAUCUUGACGGUACCUAAUCAGAAAGCCACGGCUGACUACGUG
rnacentral:rRNA from 1 species